rnacentral:lncRNA from 1 species
UAGCAAGCCCUCCCUCAGAGGCCAAGGGAGCAGAAGAGCCAUGGAUGGGCCCCUUCCCAGGACAGCAGGGGUAGAAGUGGGAAAGGUGAGCAUUUGUGACUAUUCUAUUACUCUGACCUCCCAGGACUGGACCUACAGAGACAUCUGGGAUUUUCUGCGUCAGCUGUUUGUCCCAUACUGUAUCCUGUAUGACCGAGGAUACACAUCACUGGGGAGUCGGGAGAAUACCGUGCGGAACCCGGCCCUGAAGUGCCUGAGCCCAGGAGGACACCCCACAUACCGUCCAGCCUAUCUACUGGAGAACGAAGAAGAGGAGCGGAACUCCCGCACAUGACCUCCCACCCUAGGAGGGAGGGAAGGACACCGUCCUAGGGUAUAACCUGGCAAUAAACCGUGCCUCUCACUGUG